rnacentral:pre_miRNA from 1 species
GUUUGAGGUUUUCCUCGACAGUUAACUGCUGCCGGUUUACUAAAACUUCGACAGUUAACUGCCAAAGAACAU